UAGGCAUUAUAAGGAACACUGAGCUGGGUGAAUUCUGAGGUCCUAGCUAUGGCAUUGUGUGGUUUAUUCAGUUAGCAAACCUGAGAACCUGGCAUGAGGAAGAAAAAGAGGACUGAGCGAAAGUGUUACUUCUCAGAACUUCCCUUCCUUCCACAGCUAGCAGCCAACACCGUCUGUCCAUAAAAUGUGUUGUGGAGAUCUCGGUGCCAUGUCCUCUCAACUCACCACACUCGGAAUCAUCACUUUUUAGCAUACGGGAACGCAGUACAAUGCGUCCAUGUUCACAGUGUCCUAGAAACACUGAAAUGUUGUUAGCCGGCUCCAGAUUCGGGGCCCCGGACGCCCUAGUUCAUCGCUGCCGGGAAUGCACAUUGCGAGGGGAGAAAAUGCUAGGCAAUCUUCUCUCUCUCCUUCCUCCCCCUUUAAAAGACACCGAAAACCACAUAAAGCCGGUGUGUAGCUUAGGAGCUGUGAGGGGACCAUCCCUUAAUCACUGCUCAUGUCACUGCUUUGCCAGUCACCCCAGAAGCCCCUCUACAGCCUCUCCCCACUCCUUCCCUUUUCCUAAAAGUAAACACUCUCCUGACUCGUGGAGUUACCACCUCCUGACAUUUCUUUACAGUCCCAUCGCCUGGCGGUGCAUUCCUGGUCUCUCGAGUUCCGUCUUGCCGUUUCAACGCAUUUGUUGUCUUUCAGUGCCAUUGGAUCUACAGGUUUCCCUCCUCCGUCUAAAGCAGAGGAACAUUUAACCUGCAGAGUUUCUCACAGUCUGGAUCUUGCUGGCUGCCUAUUCAUGGUACAAUUCAACGUGUUCCUCUGUGCUGUGUAUUUCCUGGGAUUUGGCAGCUGAAAUCAGAGGUUUCAUUAGGCUUGUUUCUAAUCCUUUUGGCAAGACAUUAGGUGGCAGUGUAUUCUUGCAUCGGGAGGCACAUAAUGUCUGGUUUUCUCUCCCUUCACCCCCCUCUUUUCCCUUCAUCUUCAUUCUCUCCCGCCUCUUCUUUUCCCCCUUCUCCUCCUCCUCUAUCUCCACUCCCAGUACACGGUCUGUGGUCCUUUGUAGGGCAGCCCCAGGCUCCAGAUGUGGAAGUGGACAGGAACGGAGGUGGCCAUGUGCUCAGCCGGGGGAACAGGCUUGUGCAGUCAUGACCUUGGCCAUACCAGCUGACCUGAGCCCAGAUUCUUCGACCACAGAAGAGUUAACAUUUUUAAGGGGUUCUUCAUCCUGCUGUAGCCUCGAGUCCACUGAGCAUGGCUGCAAAGGGCAGUCCUCCUCGGCACAGCCAAAGGGCCCCGGGAGCGAGGUCCCCCGCUUGCUGGUGUGACGUGGGUGGGUUCCUCAGCAUAGGCUUCCUGUGUCUUCCCUCAGCGCAACAAACCAUCCUCAGCCCCUUUGCAGAAACGAUUUUGGCCUUUUGGGCCUGACUUUUCGGAAGCCAUGGAGACAUAGAGUCCAAAAGGAUUCAUGGAAAGUAAGUGGCCUGGUUUUUGUUUCCCUUUCUCGGCGGAUGCCGACGUUCUCUUGCUGUUUGUGCUACAGACACGCUGUGAAUGUGUUUCUGAGUGAACUUCCGCCUGUUCCUGUGAAAUUUCAUGAUCUUCUAAGUGAAUCGCUUGGCAGUACAAACACCGAUACUGAAGAAAAGAACCGUGGGGGAAGAAUCACGUAAGGUUCAGUAAGAGUAUGGAAACAUGACCACUUCUGUGAGUCCACACAUUGGAAACUCAAACAGUAGGGAGACUUCACUUCGCCAGCUCCAGGAGUAAAAUCAUUUUCUUUGCUGUUGUUUUUGGCCUUCUGCUGAUAAGCACUUGUAGAAUAACUAGUUGACCUAGCUCAGUCUUGUCUUUUCUGGGUGCGAGCGUGUAUUUGUGUGUUGUUCACUUAACCCUCGACGCAGUAUUUCCAGAUAACAGUGAAGAUGGAGUUACUCUUCUAAAUGGCUCGCUCUCAUUUUUUUUUUUUUAAUGUGUAUUUAGUUUUGAGAGAGAGCGAGCACGUGAGCAGGGUAGGGACAGACAGAGAGGGAGACAGAGGAUCGGAAGCAAGCUCUAUGCUGACAACAGAGAGCGCUCUGUUCAAUGUGGCAGUUGAACUCACGAACUGUGAGAUCAUGACUCGAGCCAAAGCCGGAUGCUUAACCGACUGAGCCACCCGGGUGCCCCGGGUGGCUCUCAUUUUGAGCACUGGAGGUUUGUCUUGGGAAUCCCAUCAGGGCUGAAGAUCCACCAGAAGAGAUAGAAGAGGGUCUGUUUGUACCCUUGUCGACCAGGGCCCGCAUCCUGUGAGCAUUAAGAGGAAAGUAGAAAGAGGAAGUAAGUUGAACAUACCGAUGUCCUUUGGUUUGUGGAUCUGUUGAAACUUGCAGCUGUGGCCAGCUUGGUGGUGGUGGUUGUUUACUAUAUCAUCUUGGAUUUGAAGGCUUUGCAUCUCCUUCUAAAGCAGUGUGUUUGUCCCUUUGCACCCAUGGCCUGAGUCCCCAGGGCGUGGCCAGCCCUCUUCCUCAGUCAUCCUCGCUGACAGGCCCACGCCCCCAGCCUUCCACAGGUGUGCUCACCACAGUACUCAGUGCACAUAAGGGGACAGCUAUCUUGAUCUGGUUUUGCAAGUGCCACGUCUGUGUUCCCUCACUUCUCUUGAUAAUGUUCCUGGGAGGCCAUAGCUAGGCCCCAGCAAUUAUGCAAGGCCGACCGUUUGCCUAACUCCCCGUUCCGUGGCAGAGACUGUCUCUGGUCUCCUGUUCUAUAAAUGUUCUAUUAAAAAAAUGUUUCAGAGACCCAUCUGUGUCACAAUAACAAAAUCCGGUGCAAUAGCAUGCUGCCUGGUGGGAGCAAAAUUCAGCUCUUCAAUAAUCCAAAAUGUGUUUUCUUCUGCUUGUCUCCCUCAUUUUCACAAUAAGUAACAUUGCCGUGUUUGGCUCCCCACGAUUCCAGCAAAUUCCUGCGUAGAGCCCAUUUAAAGGAUCGACUUGCUUUGCAUACCUCGAGGAGUUCAGCGGAUGAGAGAAAUCGAACUAACCGAGAAGUGAGAUGCUGAUGUUCUAAAGCUGUGUUUCCACUUCUUUUUCACAUGAAAGGAUGUCCCAGACAUCAUGAAAGGCACAUGAGCAGAGGAGGGGCAGGGGCAGAGGAAGAGAGAGAGAAUCUUAAGCAUGUUCUACGGUCAGCGAGGAGCCCGAUGCAGGGCUCGAUCUCAUGACACUGAGAUCAUGACGUGAGCCAAAAUCAAGAGUCAGAUGCUUCACCAACUGAACCACCCAGGUGCCCCAGGAGAGUUAGAGGAAGGGGACAUGCGGCCCUGUGUGCCAGCUAACCUGGAACCAACUCCGGGCCUGGGAGGAGGUCAAGCACGUGGAGCUGACCUAGGGAGCAGCGACUGGAGCACCUUUGGUUGGCUUAGUGCUUAAGUUUGAAUGUGGACAUGACAUUUGGAGCUGUGUCAGGAAUAUUGUGACCAUGACAGAAAGGCCAGGAGAGUCACAUAGAAGUCAACUCAGGACUCUGACAUUGCACAGCCACCAGACCAACUACCUACCUCAGGACCUCCUGUUAGGAAAUCUACCUUAGGUUGAAGAUCAACCUGAAAGCUCUCUGUUAUCAAGAGAAGGCUUUUAAUACAGGCAGUACUGAGGGAGGGGAAAACAAGGUAUUCCAAAAGUGAAGAAAUCUGAGGGAUUUUCAAGCAGGUAAGGUCUAUUUGGGAAAGUCUUCCUUCCCAUUUUGAUUUAUUCUAAAAAAAAAUUUUUUAAUGUUUAUUUAUUUAUUUUUGAGAGUGAGACAGAGUGAGAGUGAGGAAGGGGCAGAGAGAGAGGGAGACACAGAAUCGGAAACAGGCUCCAGGCUCUGAGCUGUCAGCACAGAGCCCGACGUGAGGCUCGAACCCAUGAACUGUGGGAUCAUGACCUGAGCUGAAGUCAGACGCUUAACCGACUCAGCCACCCAGGUGCCCCCCAUUUUGAUUUAUUCUAAAGGAAUUAGUAUGUCUUGGGGUAGACAGAGAGGGGGAAGGAUUAGAAAGAAUGUGGCUCAUCUGGCUUGUGGUUGCUGAGCCUCCAGCUAGAUCAGGCGGCUUGGGGUCACCAUCAUGGGCUGUUGGCUGUAAGCUCUCUCAGAGCAACUGCUGCCCUUACAUGGAAGACUAAUAUCAGUGGCCAACUUUCCAGGGAACACAGAAUUCCUGGGCCUUGUUCCAUCCAGUCAGUAAGCCCACUCGAUGUCAGACACAGUCAACAGUCCUGAGGGGGAGACUCUUGGGUUCAUCAAAGGUGAAUAGAAGUUUCUGGAUGUACAAUCCCAGCCACUCUCCUUCCUCCAUGAGAAGGGAGCCCUGUCUGGUCUGGCUGAUUGGACCCGGCCCAGCCCUGUACCACUACCUCUCACCCAGCUUCCCUGAGGUGGCUCUGAGAUGGUGAGAGGGACAGCAGAGGCCUGGAGCCGGAUGUACUAUGGGACUGGACUUCAGUGUUUGAAAACACAGGUGGGCGUGGGGCACACAGAGCAGACUGUAGGUUUCUGUCAUGGUCCUAGCUUUUGUUCUGAGUGAUGGUUUUUCAGUCCUUAUUACGUUAAAAAGUAAAACCAAAAGCCCAAGGAAGUUCCAAUAGGAGGUCAGACGUGGACCAAAACAAGAGAAUGUCAUGAACCAAGGAUGGUGAUUCAUCCAUAAUCCAAUUCUGUGUACCUGAGGGUCAGGAAAUGGAAUGCAGGAAUAAAUUACAGUAAUGCGGUGUCUCAAGUGGCUGCAACAGGGCCUUUGUUGAGCUGGAGAAGGUGGGGGACACCGGCUGGAACACUUCCUCCCCUUUGGCUCCACCAUGGCCUCCAGAAGGGAAUGGACAGGGGUUUGAGCAAAGCGGAGCUGGCUUAGAGGCUAGUGGGAGGCUGUCAGGUCACCUGUAGGAGUCCAGAGAUUCCUCUCCCGAUACCCCCCGGAAAAGGGUGAGUCAGUGUCUGCCUGAGAGAAGCUGGACUCAGGCCCUUUGGAAGUUUUCCCAAGUUUGCAGGAGCCUGUCAGUGGGCAAGGGGUGCCUGUAAGACACGUUCCAUACUUCUGGCUCUCUUGUCACAAGGCUUCCGAUCCUGGAGCGAUCUAGGACGAGCACUGACGUGCAUCUCACAGCCUCACAUCAACCAAGAGCCAGGUUCAUGGUGCCCAAGUUGUAUACAAUUUGGGGAGCCCUUGUAGAAAAUGAACACAAAUUUACCAACACAAAAAUUAGGUACAAAAGCAGGUAUUUAUAUAGAAGUGAGGGCUACUACCUAUAGAUUUACUUUCAUUAGCUUCACAGUAAAUUUGGCUCUGGGUAUAGCUAUCAUCGCUCCCAUUUAAAAGGUCAUGAAAUUGAGGCUCAGGUUGGGGUAGUGACUUGGCCAAGGUCAAACAGUGGGUGAUAAGUGAACUGGAAUCAUAAACCCAGAUCAGUUCAGCGUGGCCCAAAGUGGUAGUAACAUCCUGACCUGUGAUGGUGGAGGUGACGGGGAUGCCACUGUUCUAGAAAGACUGGUUACCUAAUUUGCAUCAUAAAAUGAUUUAUGCCAUCAGCCGAUUAGGUUGUGUCUAUCCAGGGCAUGUUCUGUGCCAGGAGCUGUGUGGGGCCCUGGGAAGAUGGCGGUAGUGGAGACGAACAUAGGCCCUGUACUCCAGGAGGAGAAUAGAGUGCUGAUACCUGCCGUCAGAUGCUGGUGCAGGAGAUUGCAGAGCAAAAUAGAUCACUCUACCAGCUGCUCCCAGAAGACUCUGGGAAAGAGCCACACAUCUUUAGGAAAAUAACUCAAUGAGCUUUUGGAAGUGGAAGGUGAGAGCCGUGGGCCUGAGUUGGGAGAAGGCCCCCAAGAGGUGGUGGGAGCCACUACUCCUGUAGGUGGAGGGGUAGAGGGAAGGGGAGAGGAAGAUGGGCAGAAAUGUCUGAAAGACAAAAAGCCCAACAAACCAGGCUGUCUAUAGGUGGUUUCGUAUUACUGUGUUUUUCUGCUGUAAAUCUCCAUAUCCCCAAGGUAUCAGUACCACUGGACCACCCAGGUGGCUUUGAGGGAUGGCGAGUGUGUGUGUGUGUUUGUGUGUGUGUGUGCGCACGUGUGGUGUGUGUCAAGCUGAGUUCCACAUCUGGGUUAGAUUUAAUAACUAAGGAAAGCAUAAUGGAGUGGAAGCAGGAAAAAUGAUGCCUAGGGCUUCACUGAAACCCAUUGGUAGUAGGCAGGGUGGGGAUUUGGGAUCAUUCCUCAGGUCUUGGAGGCAGAUGGGUCCCAUAGGACAUCUGUGUUGUAAGAAGAAAGCACCGCUAUCGAGAUCCCCUGGACCCCAGUCCCCACGGCUGUGCCAUACGCGUUACCUCAUUUAAUCUCGCCCCCAGUCAUAAGAGGGGGAUGUCUGUUUCCCCCACUCUGCAAGUGAAGAACUCAAGGCUCAGAUAAAGAGCUCAAGGCUCAGAUAGAUUGAACAAUUUGCCAAAAGCAGUAACUACCAAGAGCAGAUCCAUCUGAUUCCACCCUCCCUAAUUCCACAUCCCCAUCAGCCUGGCUGUGAUAUUCCUCCAACUUUGGUCCAUUUCUAGACCCAUGUACCCCAGGUUUCAUAGGGAGGACUCACAGCACAGAGGCUGUGGAUAAGUCCAAGGCAAUUGGUUCCCCGCGGGGCAGUCGCCUCGUUCUGCUCCCUUCUAUGCUCCCUUCUUCCUUCACUCCUGCCAUGGUCCCUGUUAGGUUUCUCAGGGAAGCCAGUGGAAUAUUACUGACCCAGUCACUGGCUCCCACCUCUUAAGUGGGAACAUUACUCCUUUCCAUUGACCAGACUGUCCCUGAAUGUUGCCGAACAUGUGGAAGCUGCUUUUAAGUGUGACCUCACCCAUUAAGUAAAAAUGCUAGGAGAAAAUACAUAGUAUCUUUUUUUCCCUGCCUCUUCAUAGAAAUUGAGAGAAAAACAUUUUAAUGGAACUGUUUAAAUAAGAUGAGGUCUUUAAAACUUGCCUGUAGGUAAAGUACUGGGUCAUGCCAACGAAUUUUGAUGUGUUGGCCAUCUGACUGCCAUCAAGACACAGCUGCUUGUUUUUCUUCUUGCUAAAGUGUUAAAUAGCUGUUAAGUCAGAUCUUAGGUGAUAACAAGCAUCCAAUUAUCACUAAAAAUGGAGUCUGGUUCCAGGGACCUGCUGGUCCUUGGAGAUUCAAGGACAACUCUAUGUGCUGGUACGGCUGGGCCCACACAUCUUGGAGAAACAAAUAAAAAUGGUUAUUUACUGAGUGCCUCUUAUGUGCAUCCAUAGUCUUGUCCUAGCUGCACAGCAAAGUGGACGCUGUAGUUAUCCCCAUUUUGCAGAAGAGGGAAUUGAUGUCCAUGGUCACCAGCUGCAAGUUUCCCAGCCUCAGGAGCACCCUAUCAGGGCACAGCCUGCCACAGGCUACCUCUAACAUGGCCAGAAGGCCCAAUCCGGCAAGAAGAAUGCAGCUAUUAGAGGCCGUGUGAAGGCAACCCUGGCAAUUAGUAUUGGGCAUUGUGCCUGCUGUUUAAGGCAAGGUUCCUUUACUGUUUAAAAAACUGGAUAAUAUAUAUAUAUAUAUUUGGGUUCUUGUUCUGAGCAAGAUGGAGUAUGUGUACUCCAACAUGCCUCUCCCACUGAAUGCAACAAAAAAAAUCCUAGACAGAAUGUGCAGAGCAGCUGUCUGAGGACAAUGAAAGGAAUCAGGAGCAGGUGGAUUGGAGAAGGAGAUCAGAAUCUCAAGUAUCACCAAACCUGUGUUGAGUCUCCCAUUUCCUCCCCUCUGGGACCAUCUGCCUUCUCAACUCAUAGGCAGUCUGAAAACUAGAAAUGCACACCAGAUGCAAACAGAAUGUGCUGUUAAAGGAACCCUUGCUUUCUGGACCAGGAGUGGGAAAAGGGUCUCCUAAGGGUCAGAGGAAGUGGGGGAAAACCCCUGGUUGGCUCCUUUCAUUCUCCUACCUGGACCCCCAGCUAACCUCAAAGCAGCGGUAGCAAUGGUGACAACAGCGAGGAAGGUGCCUAAAGUUCUGAGAGAGGGAAAUCUUCCUUCUGACCACUAUGGUCUCAAAGAGGUAGGACACAAUUCCAUCCAUUUUUUUUUUCUCUCCUUGUCUUCCACUGCUUGGCCCCAUACUCAGACACACUCUGGAGAUUGCACGGUACAUCAGGGAACUAAUGCCCCAGCUCUCUUACCAGAGGGCCACAGGGGGCGAGAGUGUCAGAAUGAUUUCAGAAAGGACAGCUCUUAAGAGAGAGGCCCCAUCUGAACUCCUAGGCUCGUGUCUAAGCUCUGUGUGCUUUGAGAACUCAACCGUGGAUUAGAGCAUCACCCAGGCACCCAGAUGGCCACUGGGUGACUGAAAACAGAUCUGCAAAGUCUUUGGAAACUGAACUGACAUUAGAACCACAGUCCACAGGAGGCAGGUCAGGACUUGAGCCUACAGCUUGGCCAGAUCCAGUUGCCUGCUAAAAUAAAACAAAACUAAAUCCAACAUUCUCUUCAGGAUUUAAACGAGGCAUAGAUUCUCAGAACAUAAUAUUCAAAAUGCCUAGAAUAUAAUCUGAAGCUACUCAGCAUAUGAGGAACAAGAAAAAUUUCGACUGAUAAGGGAAUGGACAGUCAAGAGACGCCAACUCUAAGAGGACACACAUGUUGAAAUUAUUAGAUAAAGAUGCUGAGGCAGCUAUAACUAUGCUCCAGGAAACAAGGAUAAAUUCUCUUGAAAUGAAUAGAGAGAUAAAAAGAAAUAAAGAAAUAGAAGACAGAAGAACUAAAUAGACUUUUUUUUUUGAACCUAACAAUGCAAUAACCAAAAUAAAACAUGCAGUGGAUGGGAUCAAUAGCAAAAUAGAGAAGAGUCGGUGACCUUGACAGAUCAAUAGGACGUAUCUAAUAUGAACACAAAGAGAAAAAAUUAGAAAAACAAUGAACAGAGGCUUGAGGAUAUGUGGAACAAUACCAAGAAGUCUAACAUUCAUCUUGUCAGAGUCCCAGAAGGAGAGGGAAGGGACUAUGGUGAAAAAAAAAAAAAUUAUUUGAAGAAAUAAUGGGUAAAAACUUCUCAGAUUUGAUGAAAGAUAGAAACAGAUUGAAAAAUCUCAGUGAACCUCAAAUAAGAUAAACCCAAGGGAAUUCAUGCCCCAAAGCAGUCUAAUCAAACUGCUAAAAGCUAAGACAAAGACAAAAAAAUAAACCUUACAAGCGACCAGAGAAAAAUGGCACUUUGUACAGAGGGAAACAUUAAUUUGUAGGAUUGCGGAUUUCUUGUAUAAAACACUGGACACCAGAAGGAAAUGGAGCCACAGUUUUAAAGGGCUCAAAGGCAAAAACUGUCAAGCCAGUAUUCUCUGUCUGGUGAAAACAUCCUUCAGGAAUGAAGAUGAAAUAAAAACUUUCUCAGUGAAGGAAAGCAGAGGAACUUAGCACCAAUAGAUACACUCAAAAAAAAUUCUAAGGGAAUGCUUUCUCCCUGAGAUUUGGAACAAGCCAAGGAUGUUCUGGAAAAAGAAAACAAUAUGGCAAUGGGGAAUGAAUCAGUGGUUGCUGGGGAUUAGGGGUGGGGAAUGUGUGACCACUAAGGGGGAGCACAGAGAGUUUUGGGGUGAUGGAACUUUCUGUCCUGUUGUGGUCAUUACAUGAAACUAUAUAGAGAGAGAAAGCUUAAAACUGUUACAUACAAAAAGAAAAAGAAAGAAAGAAAGAAAAAUUAAUGUUAGCCUGUGUGUGUGUGUGUGUGUGUGUGUGUGUGUGUGUGUGUGUGUGUAGGGAGGAGUGUUGUACAAGGUGUGUGUAUGUUUGUUUGUGUUUUGUGCCUUAAGACAAUACAAAUGUAUCGUUUUCCAGUCCUGCAUGUUACAAUCCAACACAGGUCUCUCUGGGCUCAAUCAGGUGGAUAGCCAUAUUCUGGAAUUUUUUGAACGAUGAAUGGUGAAUAAUGUUUAAAAUUUAUUUUAUUUACACACCUUGCUGUCUAUUACCAACUAAUCACAGCCCUGGGUGACAGUCCUGGAAACAGAACAUUUUUAUUUUCACUUUAAAAACAAACAAGCAGGGGUGCCUGGGUGGCUCAGUCCAGCUUCGGCUCAGGUCAUGACCUCACGGUCCGUGAGUUUGAGUCCCGCGUCAGGCUCUUUGCUGACAGCUGGGAGCCUGGAGCCUGCUUCCGAAUCUGUGUCUCCCCCUCUCUCUGCCCCUCCCCCACUUGUGCACACUCUCUCUCUCUCUCUCUCUCUCUGUCUCGCUCUCUCUCUCAAAAAUAAAUUUAAAAAAUAAACAUUAAAAAAAAAAAAAACAAGCAGAUGAGCUCUAGGCCUCUCUCUAUCCCUUUCACAGCACAGGCCAAACGUGGAAGGAAAAGCAGGCACAGCUUCACAGAUUUCCUCUAGGAAGGAACACUAGUGGUGGUUGGGACACUGAGGGUUAUCCUCUGGUUCCAGUAAGGGUGAGGAGUGUCUCCAUCCUGACCAGCGCCUGCAGGAACCUGGAAAAAGAACUGAGGUGGGGCCAGGGGGAGAAAAAAGGAACAUGCACUGAACUUGCCCUCAUCUCCACAAACUCAUCUAGAACUCUCCAUCAAAGUUCUGAAAACACCUCACCUCCCAUGAAAACCCUGCCUCGGUGAGCCAUGUUCCUAUGAUUUAGGCUCCUCCUUUUCCCAUUACAAGAGAUGAACCCAGAACCUAAGAGUAAGCCAUGUAAUGCUUCUUGUUAAUUUAUUCAAAACCAGUGUUGGAGCGUCUAUAGGGUCUCAAGUAGCUGGGUCCACAGAUGUAAACAAGAGGGGUUAGUCCCUCACCCUUAUGACACUAAAGUCUAGGAAGAAGAACGCAGAAAAUAAACACAUAAAACACAUCUGAUGGUGGUAGGGCUGAACAGGAACUAAAAUGGAGUAACGGGAUGAGAUUCUGGAACCCCAUCCACUCACACACUUCCUAAGCGGCCGCCGUGGGCAAGGCCUUAACCACUCCAUGCUUCACCCACCUUAUCUGACAUGUGGGGGGAACAAUAGGACCUACCUCCUGAAGCUGUGAGAA